rfam:Oryza sativa (indica cultivar-group) chromosome 9, whole genome shotgun sequence.
UUUAAGCGCAGCGAUGAGUUUACGUGUCCAACUUUGAUCGUCCGUUUUAUUUAAAUUUUUUUUAUGAUUAGUAUUUUUAUUGUUAUUAGAUGAUAAAAUAUAAAUAAUACCUUGUGCAUAACUUAUGUUUUAAUUUUUUUAAAAAAAUUAAAUAAAACAUACGGUUAAAAUUGGACACAGAGAUUCAUGGUUGCGCUUAAA